rnacentral:misc_RNA from 1 species
GUGAAUCAUCGAAUUUUUGAACGCAAAUUGCGCUUCCUGGCAUCCCGGGAAGUAUGCCUGUUUGAGGGUCAUUAUUAAUAAAAAAUCGGGUUAGGUACAAGUUGUGACGUUUCCGGAGCUUGGGCUGUCUUAACAUUUUGGGUUAAGAGGCUUGAAAUUGACCUUUGUUGCGCAGUUUUAGACGUACAUAAAUUUUUUUUAUUCGUCUAUUCUUAAUACCAAAAUCUUAUUAGAUUCGAUCACAUCGUGUUGCGUCUUGUCCAUAAAAUUUUCAUGAUUUG